CGCUGAGCGCGCUCAGAAGAGUGUUUGAGAGGAGGUGUGCACGUCCGAGUGUAAGAGAGGCCGGAAAGAAUGCCUCAGAGACACCCUCUCUCACAGCAGCCCCAACCAAGCAAGAGAGAAAACAACAAAAACAUAACUGCUCACACUCACCAUCAAGCUCCAGCUGAUUCAAGAAGUCAUGAGAACCUGAAAAUCAAGUCCUGAGACAAUGUGCAAAUGCACUUU